UUGCUUUAGCUGCACACAUACUAAAACUGGAAUGAUGCAAAGAAGAUUAGCAUGGCGUCUAUCCAAGGAUGACAUGCAAAUUCGUGAAGCAUUCCGUAUUUUA
ensembl:snRNA U6 U6 spliceosomal RNA